rnacentral:rRNA from 1 species
UACGUAGGGGGCAAGCGUUUGUCCGGAUUUAUUGGGCGUAAAGAGCGUGUAGGCGGCUAGGUAGGUCCGUUGUGAAAACUCGAGGCUCAACCUCGAGACGCCGAUGGAAACCAUCUGGCUAGAGUCCGGAAGAGGAGAGUGGAAUUCCUGGUGUAGCGGUGAAAUGCGCAGAUAUCAGGAAGAACACCCGUGGCUAAGGCGGCUCUCUAGUACGGUACUGACGCUGAGACGCGAAAAGCGUGGGGAGCGAACAGG